CUCAUUUGGUCUCUUUGCGCGUUAUCCGCGCUGUUC
rnacentral:sRNA from 1 species